rnacentral:rRNA from 1 species
UACGUAGGGUGCAAGCGUUAAUCGGAAUUACUGGGCGUAAAGCGUGCGCAGGCGGUGAUGUAAGUCAGGUGUGAAAUCCCCGGGCUCAACCUGGGAACUGCAUCUGUGACUGCAUCGCUGGAGUGCGGCAGAGGGGGAUGGAAUUCCACGUGUAGCAGUGAAAUGCGUAGAGAUGUGGAGGAACACCGAUGGCGAAGGCAGCCCCCUGGGUUAACACUGACGCUCAGGCACGAAAGCGUGGGGAGCAAACAGG